UGAUUUUAACGAGAGUGACCAAACUAUUUAAUGUGGGUGCUUAAAUUGUAAAUUUUUUUAUUUUAAGUGCCUAAUUAUAUCAAUUCUUUUAACUGUCACUUUAUCUUUUUGUUUGUGGUUUUAACGAAAUAACGUUGGUGCUUAAAUUGUAAAUUUUUUAUUUUAAGUGCCUAUAAUAAAAAAUAUAUAUAGUUCAGUGACUAUUUUAUAUAGUUUACCCAUAAUAAAAAUAGUACAUGAUUAACAAGAAUAUUCAUUUAAUUUAAUUAUAUGUUCUUUAAUUUAAAAUUAAAAAAAAUCAAAUAUUCAAAUUACAUUAAUAUAUAUAUAAUCAAUAUUUUCUGUACAGAAAAUUCUUCAAUGAGUAAAAUUUCUAACAUUUUUUCCCCUCUUUUUAUGAUAAGAAUGCUUCGUAAUCAUCAUUAUCAUCUCUUCUCCGAGUUUUACCCUUCAAUAUAUUUGAAAUUUCCUUGUGAUGACUGUAUAAUAUACCAAAGUCAUAAAAUUUUCAGAUAAUUGAAAACUCUCUCUCUCUCUUUGUAAUUAUAAAAAAAAAAAUAAGUUGUGUAAUAGCCAAUUUUGGACUAAACCCAAAUCAACAAAACAAAUAAUAAAACCUAAACAAAUAAUAAAAUAGUCUAAAAUAAAUGUCUAUUUACAUAUUAAACCUAGGCCUAAACUACUCAAACCCAAUAAGCCCAAAAGUCUAGAAACCCUAGCCCACUAUCUUAAAUUUUUUUCCAGCAAACUGACCUUAGGGCUAGUCCCUGUUGCGGCCGCCGCUCCCACCAUUGGCCUCCCCACGCAUGCUCAGCCACCUCACGCACCAACCAUCGCUCACCCACGCCUCUGACACCUGCAAAACGAAGAUCUACAUGCAAGCAGAAAGGACAAACAAAGAAAACAAAUAACAAAGAAACAAAAAAUAGAAAUCAAAUCUUGUAAUUUGGCUAUAAAAGCCAUAUCAACAUGCUUGUAUGUUUCUUCUUCUCCAGGUUCAAAAAAGAGAAAUACGAAAAUCAAUCAAAAAACUAAAAAACUUUCAAGGUGACUUUUUCUUUUUUUAUUUCAAAUAUUGCUUUAAAGUUUUUUUUUCUGUUAUUUUUACAUUAAAAAAAAAAGAGGAAAUGGCUCACCGGAGUUACCUCACGACUGCAUCGUCACCUUGUGGUCCCGUCAUCGGAGGUUUCUCUCCACGGUCGGAAUCGAACACGAAAAAGGGGGUGACAGUGGGCCUUUUUCUUUUGGUUUUUGCAGGCUUCGAGGGUUUCGUCUUCAGACCCAUUUGAAAAGGAGCUGAAAAACCAUAUUUUACGCAACGUCGGCCACCGUCUAUGGUGGGUGAACGGAUGGUCAGUGGCCCUUUCGACCGGAGACAAGGGGAGAGGAUGAGAGAAUUCCAAAGUUCUUUUAGUUUUUUUUUUUAAAACUAAUGGCUAAAAAUGAAAUUUCAAAACAAAUUUAGUCUUUUAUAAAACACUGAAACAACGUAGUUUCAUUUGGCCUCCCUAGACGCCAAAACGGGAUCGUUUUGGGAAGGCCGACCGGAACCCGACCCGCUCCACAAAAGGGAUCCGUGUGUUUUUUUUUAUUUUGGGUUAUUUUUCGAAAAUGGGGCUUUCGCUUUUGCUACGUGCUUCGAUUAAGUCUCGCCUUGUUUUUUUUAUUUUUUAAUUCGACCCUUUUAUUUUAUUUUGCAUUCAAUUUAGUCCCUCUAUUCGCAAGUUGGAGUGGCGCACUUAAUGGGGUUUGGGAUAUUUUCUCAGUUAACCCCUCGCAUGUUUCAGCGCGUUUCAAAUCCAUCCUCUGCUUUAUUUUUUUAUGCGAAUUUCCCCUUUGAAUUUUAUUUAGAUUUUAAUUUAAUCCUUUUUAUAUACUUACGUUUAUUUUAUUCAAAUUUGGACCCUAAAAUUUCAUUUUAAUUGCAAUCAAGCC
rnacentral:lncRNA from 1 species